GCCUUCGUGGUUUACUGGUCAGCAUGCUCGACGCGUAAUCGAGAUGUUCGUGGUUCGAUUCCCGGCGAAGGCG
rfam:Stegodyphus mimosarum contig9850, whole genome shotgun sequence.